CAUUGGUCGGCGGUUCUCCGGCUGCCCAGACAGCGGGGGGAGGGGGCCGAGCUGCAGAUUAUUGCAGACUAAGCAGUCUGGCUCUGCAGCAGCAAGGGAGGGAGGGAGAGUGCGCGCGCGCGCUUGUGUGUGAGUGUGUGUGUGUGUGUGUGUGUGUGUGUGUGUGUAAGGAGGGGGGGGAGUUGGCUGCCAGCCAGCCACCAUCAGAAUUAGCUCAUUGUUCAAUAUAACCAGCACUGUGGCAACCAAACCCCAGCCUAGGAGAGAGGCAGAGACUUUCCCCCAGCUGCCCCCCCCUUUUUCCCCUCCUUCUUCUUUCUCCAAGGCUGCACUUUGGAAGAGAUCAUGUAGAAAGGACAGAAAGUGAGCAGGGAGCGGGGGCUUUUGUCUAUUCCUCUCCUUGUGCUACUUGAGCGAAACUGCAGUCUCAAGACUUAACAGUCUAAAAAUGGUUUAUCAGCGAAGGUUAACAGUUUGGGUUAACCAGAAUCUCUUUCCAACCAGCCAAGGAGAUGGAGGAUUUCCUAAGGGAUAUCUUCUUAUCCCAAAAGAAGUAAAUCGCAAGAAGAACAAGGAGACUGAAGCUUUGUUCCUGAUUCCACCAAAUGACUAUGGACACCAUUUCACCAAAAUCAAUUACCUCUAUUCCUUUUAAUCAUAAUUCCUACAUUUGUAUUACAUAUGGUGUAUGGGUUUGAUGAGGUCAUGGUGUCAUAUAUCGGGAAUUGUUUCUGUGUAAAUCAUCAAGUGUAAGAAGAAACUAUGGGACUCUGAGCCUUGCUUUAGAGAAUUACAGUGGACAAAUGUGUAUUAUAAAACUAGUUUUUAACAUUCUGACUCAAGAAAAAGCUCUCAGAAUUUCACACUGUGAAUCCAUGUUUACAAAACAUUACAGGUGGGCCUUCAGGCCUGGUUCGACUACAGCAAUGUCUUCCACUACUCAAACUCCACUGCUCACACGCAGCUGGUAAACAGCUGCCUCUCCAUUUCCAUCAUUCCUAACUGCUUCUUGCAGAGGCUGAGAGUCCCCCUUUUUUCAUUUAGAUGUAACAAGCCUAGUAGUUUAUUUUCAUCAAUUGUCUGUAUAGCUCUAUAUUUUAUCCAUGUACUCUUUUGAUGUAUAGAAGUAGUAUGAAACUCAUGGUUUCCUUGUGGUAAGUGAUUGUGAUGCUGCCACAGGAUUUGAGACACUGAUGAAUGGUGCUAUUUUGGACUUUAAACAUGCUCCUUGGCAAGGUAGCUCUGAUGGAGUUAUUUUUUAUUUCCAUGUUCUGAGAAGGUGUUGGUACUUUGUUUUCCUGAAUGUUGUUCUUUAGAUUGGACUGACUUGUUUCCUUGUGUCUUCAGUGUGGCUUUCUUAUUCAGUGCUGUAGGUGAGUAACUACUAAUAGAGUAAAAGAGAGGAACCUAUUCCUUAUCAGGGUACACUCACAAAUAUGCAGUUGUAGUGGGAGCAGUCACAAAACUGUAAUUUACUUAAAAUCUCCUUUCUGUAUCCUGUCCACCUAACUUGGAGAAAAACGAGCAAUAAUUUUCCAGAGGUCUUUGGAAAUCUCUUACACUCUGUCUUUUCUAAAAGGCUUUUUUUGAAAACAGAGGCAAGUUUUAAUGUCCUCUUAAAAUCAAUAAUAUAGGUGAUACGUUAGGAACAGAAUAACUAAUUGUUUCCUCCAACUUCAGCAGGAGAAAAUUGUAAAAAGCAAAGAGCCUAUUUCCACACUAUUGUCAACAUGUGGCUCUUACACUUUUGUAGUUGCUCCCAGGGAAAUACCAACAAACAAACAAACACACACACAAACAAAAAAGCAGUAUCAUCUACUCAUGGAAUGUUGUUGUGUUAGACACAGUCUGAAAGCCCACCUUAAUUUUUUAUAUAACUCUGUCUUUUAGCUCUUCCUUUUACAGGGCAGGCUUUGUUCUGAACUGUUUUCGCUUUUGACUGUUAAUACCAAUGCAUGCACUGCAUUUCUUGGGUUUCUCCCUCCAUCCAUGCCCUGUAUUCCCUUUCCUGUAUAUUUUCUUUUCUGAUAGAUUAGACACAUCAACUGUGCUGUAUAUAGAGCAAGAAACAGUAUUCAGCAGUUGUGGCAUUUAUGUAUAGGUGCAGUUGUGUACUGCUGAAAAUGCAGGCUUUUGUAACAAUGUGAUCUUUAAUAAUGCACUACAAGUACCCAAUGUAUUUUAGCUAUUUUAGUAGGAUUUGUUCAAUAAAUAUGCAAGCUCUAAGGGUAGCA
ensembl:lncRNA